GCCGUGGAUUGUGGCUGUCUAUCACAUUCUCAUAGACAAAGCCUAUAUAUCGACUAUCUUCUUUUCCUUUUACGUGUAGUCUCGAGAUUGGUAUCCAUUCUGUGAAGUAUAGACAUACAUGUAGGCUUGUGAUUGUCUUCCAUUGUUAUGAAUAUAGACAUAUGCGUUUGAUUCUCUUCCGUCCUUAUAAAUAGAGGCUCCAAGUCAGUAAACGUAUGACUGUCUUCUGUUUCAUGAAUACAGGCUUAAUCAAACUUGUGACUGUUCUAUUCUUAUAAAUACAGGACUGAGGUAUUAGAUUGUAAAAGUCUAAUGUUCUUAGAAAUAUAUAGGCUUUGGCUUCGGAAUGUCUUCUUUUCUCAGAGAAUAUAUAGUGAUGCUCGUGGCGG
rnacentral:lncRNA from 1 species